AUAUGAAUCACCUGGAGAUCUUGUUAAAAUGCAGAGUCUGGUUCAGUAGUCUGGAGUAUGGCUUGAGAUUCUGUACUUCUAAUAAACUCCCUGGUGAUGCCAAC
rnacentral:pre_miRNA from 2 species